ACGAACGCUGGCGGCGUGCUUAACACAUGCCAGUCGCACGGAAAGGCCCUGCUUUUGUGGGGUGCUCGAGUGGCGAACGGGUGAGUAACACGUGAGUAACCUGCCCUUGACUUUGGGAUAACUUCAGGAAACUGGGGCUAAUACCGGAUAGGAGCUCCUGCUGCAUGGUGGGGGUCGGAAAGUUUCGGCGGUUGGGGAUGGACUCGCGGCUUAUCAGCUUGUUGGUGGGGUAGUGGCUUACCAAGGCUUUGACGGGUAGCCGGCCUGAGAGGGUGACCGGCCACAUUGGGACUGAGAUACGGCCCAGACUCCUACGGGAGGCAGCAGUGGGGAAUAUUGCACAAUGGGCGGAAGCCUGAUGCAGCAACGCCGCGUGCGGGAUGACGGCCUUCGGGUUGUAAACCGCUUUCGCCUGUGACGAAGCGUGAGUGACGGUAAUGGGUAAAGAAGCACCGGCUAACUACGUG
rnacentral:rRNA from 1 species